GCCGAGGUAGCUCCAAUGGUAGAGCGGAGGCCUGAAGAGCCUCGCGUUGGGAGUUCGAGUCUCCCCCUCGGCACCA
rnacentral:tRNA from 1 species